AGCGAACGUUUGCGGCGGGCCUAACACAUGCAAGUCGAACGGGUUGGCAACAACCAGUGGCGCACGGGUGCGUAACACGUAGGUAAUCUACCCUCAAGUUCGGGAUAACGAUCUGAAAGGAUCACUAAUACCGGAUGUGUUCCGAAAGGAAGAAAGACCCGCAAGGGUCGCUAGAGGACGAGCCUGCGGCCCAUCAGCUAGUUGGUGAGGUAAUGGCUCACCAAGGCUAAGACGGGUAGCUGGUCUGAGAGGAUGAUCAGUCACACUGGAACUGAGACACGGUCCAGACUCCUACGGGAGGCAGCAGUGGGGAAUAUUGCGCAAUGGGCGAAAGCCUGACGCAGCCACGCCGCGUGAGCGAUGAAGGCCUCGGUCGUAAGACUCUGUGGGAGGAGAAGAAUAAAGACCUGUGAAGAGCAGGCCGUUGACGGUAUCUCCUUAGCAAGCACCGGCUAACUCCGUGCCAGCAGCCGCGG
rnacentral:rRNA from 1 species